ACCCCCCAGAGGACAACGUGGUGACAACAGAGCGCGUGCAGUGUCCCAGACACCAGCUGCUGUCACACGCGCACCGUCACGUAAGAAACAUCAAGCUGUGUGCGUGCAGCGGCGCGGGUACAAAGACCUCACAACAACAACAACAACAACAACAACAACAACAACAGGUUAGCAUUUCACUGCUGGUUCCUGUGGUUCUGGUUCUGGUUUAUAGCCUACUGUUAGUUUAGUCCAGUGGUUCCCAACAUAGGGCUCGGGCCCUCCGGAGGGUCGUUAAUAGAAGAGGAAAGAAGAAAAAAAUACUUUGAUACAUUUUUGUAAAUGUUUUAAAAACUUUUCUCUGAUAUUUGUUUUUUUAAAUAAUUAUCAAUAAAUUAAUUAAUAUAAAAGAGGAUUUUAAAUAAUCGUAGUGUUUUUGUUAAGUUAGAAUGUUUUUGUCGUCUUCCAGUGGCGGAGUCUGCCAUGUUUGUACGGUGGCUCAGAGCGGACAAACCAAACACUGACUGUAGAUUGGGACACACGUGGAACGCGAGGGGUCUUCAGUUGGUUCCUCCACACUUUAAUGAUUCGGGGGCUGAAAACAUUUCUGGGAGUCGUGUCGUUAUGUAACACGCAGCGAGUGCGUCACACAGCGGCGGGUAAACAAACACGUGUCGUCACGGCGUCCAUCACACUGAUGUCACGCCGUUUCCUCCCCACGCUGACGCAGCUCGGACAGCAGCUGGGUUCCUUAUAUGGAGCCAAAACAUGGAGGAGUUUAACCCUUCAGACUCAUUCGGUUGCUCACAGAAACAAACUGUAACAUAAAUAACGGUAAUAUUCCUGCAACCAAAAUAACUGAUUCGUAAAAAUACAGAAAUUUUCUGUAAUUCAAAUACAUUUUAUUAGAUUUAAUUUGACAUAAGAUAUAAAAUGUUUUGUCUUUCUAAUGUUGAAUUAAAGAUAUUUACAGUGUAAACAAUGAUCUAUAAAUCCAGGUGAACUCUGCUAUAAUACAAUAAUCAGACUUACAUUUCCAGCAGAGUGCUGUUAUUAUUGGAUUGUUAUUAUUUUAAUGUGAAUGUUAAAAGUUAUAGAAGUGUAAUAAAAGUCAUUAUCUGUGAGAUUACAGUAAUUAUUGCUGUUUACACUGAUAACAACUGUAUUUGGACAGUUUACCUUAUACACUGAUAAACAACAUUUAUUCAACUUCCAUCAUUAUACAACAUAUCUGUCAGUUCACUAACUAAUACAUUAAAAUUACACAACUAAUACUUUAUUUACUGUUAAUGAAUUAAUGUUAGAAAUGUGUUAACAGUAUUAAACUUGUAUUUAAAAGUUUAAUCUAUUAAUGUAAAUGUAUUUUAAUUUAAUGUUCUUUAAAUAAAUUAUUUACAGAUUUUA